UAUUUGGUGAAAUGAGCACUAGCUCCCAUGUUGGGAACAUCAAUCAAUUCUUCUUCAUUUGAAUUCGCUGGCAAUAAAAUAGCUAUUCUUUAUGAUAUCCCUCACAUUUUCAAAUUGAUAAGGAAUCACUGGCUAACUAAACCCUUGUCGUUAAGAUUAGAAAAUGCUGAGGAAAUCAUAAAAUGGACGGAUUUAGCUAAUUAUCUCCGUCCUCAAAUAAAAGCUCCUUUCUACCAGUGCCCGAAGCUGACAGCCUUGCACCUUGAUCCUACUUUCACCGCUGAAGAUGAUCCCACAGAAGAUUUCAGUGCUUUAAAUGACCAUAGAAUCACCAAUAAUUCACCUGAUCGUCAUGUCAUUUCAUACAUUGCUGGAUACAUCAUCAAAUGCAUCAAAAAAAAGAAAUCAUCAUGUUCAAACUGCAUAUCAUCAAUUGACACAACUCAUCUUCUACCAGUCCAUUCAUUCACCCGCAUCAGAGAGUAUUUUGGCGAAAAUUCAACUUAUCAUCUUCAGUAUUUUCGGUGAGAUUUACCAUUGAAUUGCACACUCUUCUUCCUUUACUCUUCGAUUGAGCUGAUUCUGGUUGUCAGAGUAUCUGUUUUGGCAUCUCCUCUCCCUGAUUACAGUAAUUUUCGAUUGAAAAGACCAAUCGAAAAUUACUGUAUUGCUGAUUUGUCUGAAUAGAUGAUUGAAUAAUUUCUAGUGAUUUACUGUGAAUUUAUCAUGUCUUUACUGUCACUAAUACUAAUACUUAUCAUAAAGAACUUCAUUAACCUCCUAACAGUUUAAAAUCAACAUUCUGAAUUGCUAUGAAAGUGGAUAAAGUUAUCUAGAUUUCGCUCUUGUUUUUAAUAAACUUAAAACCUUAAUUGCUCUCUCUAUUGAAUACAAAAAAAUAUUUCCCUUUUGAUUGUUGUCAUUCGAUGCAUUCCCGUUUGGAGCUGCAAACGGAAAGCCUUUGACUCCUGAACCUGGUUUCUUUUCUUGGAUUGAAAAAAAUCACCAGGAACUUUGAUGACAUCGUUUGAAAUAUUAAUAGCAAAUAAAAUGUUUUUGUACACUAUAAA